AAGUUGGAUCUGCACAACCUUUUCUGCUCUGUGAAACAACUGCACUGAACUUUACUGUUAGCGACUGGAUACAGCUGAUCCACUCAUAUCCUGCUACUGUUUUUCAUCUGCUGAAUGUUUUUGACUCAAGCACUGCUGUACUGUUGCAAAGUCAAAGUGAACAGAAUUCUACUAUGAUCCCAGACUUUUUGGAUUGUUUUGAAAUAAAGUUUUUUAAGAGUAA